AAGACCUUGCGCUUUUGGAGCGGCCGAUGUCUGAUUAGCUAGUUGGUGGGGUAAUGGCCUACCAAAGCUUCGAUCAGUAGCUGGUCUGAGAGGACGACCAGCCACACUGGGACUGAGACACGGCCCAGACUCCUACGGGAGGCAGCAGUGGGGAAUUUUGGACAAUGGGCGCAAGCCUGAUCCAGCCAUGCCGCGUGAGUGAAGAAGGCCUUCGGGUUGUAAAGCUCUUUCAGCCGGGAAGAAAAGGCUACGACGAAUAAUCGUAGCUCAUGACGGUACCGGAAGAAGAAGCACCGGCUAACUACGUGCCAGCAGCCGCGGUAAUACGUAGGGUGCGAGCGUUAAUCGGAAUUACUGGGCGUAAAGGGUGCGCAGGCGGUUUUGUAAGUCAGAUGUGAAMUCCCCGGGCUUAACCUGGGAACU
rnacentral:rRNA from 1 species